AAGUAACAAGUUUAGUUAGCAAAUGUAUAUAAACAAUAUCAAGCUAUAAAUUUGAUGUGCUCUGAUAAUGGAGAUCAGCAAAAUCACUUGAAGGGCCAGAUGAUGAUGCCAUCUGUCUCAUCAUACGCCUCAUCUUCUCCUGCAUAAAGCCAAACCGCUAUUCACUCUGUUGCCUGAGGCACGAUACCUCCUCAACUUGUUGCUAGAGAAUUCACUCUUGAUUUGCCCUCAUGUGUACGAUCUCCUCCUCAAGCACUCUAAUGUGCUCAUCAACAUCAUGAUCUAUCACCAUAGUUAUCCAUCAAUCCUGUCCCGUUAAAGGUGAAGGCAAAAGUGGAGACGUUGGCAGGUCUCUAAAUAAUCUCAUCAUCUUGUCUAUCAUAGAUUGUCUCCUGUGUUCCAUCCUUUAUUUGCUCCUCCAUGUGUCUUCUCUUCAUCUGCCAUCAAGAAACAGCCAUGGCUAGCUAGUUCUUUUUUAUCUUUGAUAAUUACCGCUAACACUUUGACAAAGUUCAUGGACUAUUAAUUACCAAAACCCCAAUCACUUCAAUAAAUCACCAUUGACUUACGAGAAUUACAAUAAGAAAUAUACUCUAAAUUUAGUAAUGUAUCCAAUAUAUAAUUUGAUAUAUAUAAUCUACUAGAUUUUUUUUAUGUGAAUAACCUAGAUUUUUAUCAGGAUAGACAACUAAGUAAAUAGAAAUAAACAACAGUUUGUUGCUGUGCGUAAAAUAAAAUGCAGAGUUAUAUAAAAUCCUAAGAAAUAUAAUUAACAAUGUGUCAAAAGUG
rnacentral:misc_RNA from 1 species